CAUAAAACUCGUACUAAAAGUGAAAGGAGAACAAUAACACCAGCCAUUUUGUGUGGAAUAUUGAUGAGUCGAAACUUCUGAGUAAUUCACCUUGUUUUUCGUUAAAACUAAAGUAUGUCAGAAAAAGUAUAGUAAUUGCAUCGGUUACGGAGAUAAAACCCGUCAGUCGCGACACUGCUGAAAAAGAAUCAACUCGACUACAGAAGAAAAUGGAGGAAGUGACGGGAAGGUGUAGUACGAGUCGACGAUUAUAGCGAGAAGACGCGACACAGUCCAUACUGUGAUCAGCCAGUUCUGCUGCACUGAUCUAACUCUGUGUUGUGUCAAAAUAAUGAAAUCCACAGUUCUGACACUUCGUCUGUACAUUUUCGGUGUUUAUGCUGUCCUUACAUAUGGAGCUAAAUGUGGGCCAAGUGAAUAUCUAUCAGCAGCUGGAGAAUGUUGUCCUAUGUGUAAUAUAGGGUCGGUGGUUCUCAGAGACUGCUCUGGUGAUUACACUACAUCAUGCAAACCUUGUUUAAAAGGAAUGUUUAUGAAUGAACCUAGUGGCUUUGAAAAAUGUUUUUCUUGUAAAUCCUGUGACACAGGCCUUUAUAUUUUGCAAGAGUGUACCACAAUAAAGGAUACAGUAUGUGAGGUCUUGGAUGGAUAUUAUUGCAUGCAAUACUCAGAUAGAGAAUGUUCUCUUGCGUCAAAACACAGUGAAUGUGAACCAGGGCAGCAAGUAAAGACUCCAGGCACUAAGGCCUCGGAUACAGUUUGUGAGCCGUGUCCACCAGGAUUUUAUUCUCCUAAAGGUGUGAACUGCACUAAAUGGACUGACUGUUGGGUCAAUAAUGAGAUUGAGGACCAAGAAGGCACUUCCAUUACAGAUGUUCAAUGCAAACCAAGAAGGAGAAAAUAUGUUUUCCUAGCAUUGAUUCCACUUUCUGCACUUGUUAUACUGCUUGUUAUAGUUUUAUAUCUGUGGCACAGAGGAGCAAUCAAAUGUGAGUUGUGUUCUUCUUUUUUUUCCCUUCCAAACAAUGCAUCAAUUGAUUAUGUUCAGUGGAAAUCAUGGCAUGUGGUCAAAUAUCUAAUACAUCAAGAUACUAUAAUAUUCUUAACUAGUAUAUUGUGACAAGUGCUUGUAUUAUCUUAACAUUUGACACUCUUGUUUUGUUUUACAGGUUUCACACAAGUAAGUGCUGACAUUACAAUCAGUAUUGUCUUAUUACAUUUACCAUUUGUUUUUUCUUAAUGAUGAGGAGCUCAAAAAUUUUAGUUUAAAUGAAGUUUUGAUUCUUGCAAUACUGAAGCAAUACUGUGCAAAGUCUAUUAGCAGAUCUUUUUUCAUCAAAACUACUGCCUGACACUUGUUUUUCAUUAGGUUUUUUUUCAGCUUCCUUUUGAGGCAGUUAAUAUCUGUAAAAUUUAUGUUAUUGAAAAGUGACUUUGUUAAAAAGAACAAGUAUAAUAUUUAGUAAUUUGUAACAUGCUUUUUUAAACUUUUCUUUAACUUUCUUUCCUUUUAUAUUUCUUUUUAAAUUCAUCAUAAUAUACAUGACAGUCAACACAGUAGUGACAAGUUUUGGAAGGCCACAGUGCAGUUUUGAUGAUUUCCUUGUUCUAUCACAUUUUCUUCAACUCAGUAAUGGUGAAUAGUUCAAGCUGAUGAAUUGUUAGCCUGUAGUGUGAAAUUUGGAAACCAAACCGAGAUUCUCUUCAUUUAUUAUAAUUGGACUACGCUGAUGUAACAUCCAUAUUUACUCUCCACUUAAAGUUGUACUCCUUACUCCUUACUACAUCUUUCAUUCAGAUGAACUAGGUGUGUUUGUAUGCUGUUUCUUUUUGUGCUUACAGAGUCCUGUAGAAGAAACAGGACUUGAAGCUUCAUUAUGUGUCACAUCAUCCAGUAAUCUGGUGGUAAAAAAAGGAAACCCAUUCACCAGCUGUAACCUGAUUGUAACAACCUGAAGCUUCAGUAUGUGCCCCAUCAUCCAGUAAUAAGUUAGAACCUUGUCAUAGUUAGGCAAAGAAUAAUAAUCUUGGGUCAUUACGAACUUUGUUUAGUUCAGGAUCAAAUGUUUUUUGUUUUUUUUAAGGGGGGGGGGGGGUCCAAAUGUAUAAUAUAAGUGUUUAUAUUACUGAUAAAACCCUAGAAGGAGUGCUGUUAUGUAAUAAUGUAUUAGAAUAAGUGCAUUAAUAUAAACUUGUGAUUUGCCUUGGCAAAAAAGGGUGGCUGUGGCUCAGGUGGUAGAGUGGAUCGUCCACUAAUCGUAGGGUUGGCGGUUCAAUUCCCCGGCCCACAUGACGCCACAUGCCGAAGUGUCCUUGGGCAAGACACUGAACCCCAAGUAGCUCCCUAUGACAAGUUAGCGCAUUGUAUGGCAGCGCUGCUACCAUUGGUGUGUGUGUGUGUGAGAAUGGGUGAAUGAGACACAGUGUGAAAGCACUUUGGAUAAAAGCGCUAUAUAAGUGCAGACCAUUUGCCUUCCAGCUGAAAAUGGAAAUUUGAAAAUUAAUCAACACCAUCAACACUCGGCCCCGAGUAUGGUCACUGAUGUCUGAUUUUUGAAAGUAGGCUAUUUUAGCAACAGUAGUUAUGUAAAAUGUCCUACAUGUAAAAUGUAGGACAAACAAAUUUGUAUUUAAACCUUUGUUUUGCUGUUCAAGCUCCCUGAUCUUCAUAAAAAAAUAUGCAAUAUAGGCUAAAGUAGAUAUAAAUGCAGUUAGAUUUUGCCAUUGAUUUUCCUGCUGAUGAGUGUAGUAUAUUAUUGCCAUAUGAUUCGUAAAUUAACUUAAAAUACAUUGCACUGUUUGCUACGAUUGUUUUUAGUAUCUAACAGUAGAAUUUUUAGCAUUUUUAUAGUACUGAUUGUCAGUAUUAUAAAAAUCACUUUAACAGGCAUCAUCAGUGUCUUAACUUUUAGUGAACAACACUGGAAAAAACAAAACAGAAUAAACUCUUAAAGUUUCAGUAGAAACCAAAGUUUCAGUAGAGAGAGAACUAAUCCUCCUCUGGCGAACAAAUGAAUAUGAAAUCUAUAGCUGCAACAACUAAUCGAUAAUAAUCGAUUAUGAAAAUCGUUGUCAACGAAUCUCAUUAUUUAUUAGUUGGUCUGUGUGCAGCACGGGGGAGAUUUACUCAUUAUGUUAAUUCUGUUCCGAGAACAGAAUUCAGAACAGUAUGCUUCGGUGAGUAAAUACUAAAGUUGUGUCCCAAAUGAAGUACUGUACACUUACACUGUGCACUCUGCACUACCGUCUAGUGUGUGGACUUUAGAAAGGUAAUAUCAUCUCAAAUAUAACACUAGCGUUUUUUUUUUUUUAACUAACCCGAAGUAUAAGCUGCUUCCUAGGCGACUGCGCAUGAUGUCAUAUGCACGCUAGCAUUAGCAGACACCAGUCACCGAUAAUGAUUUUCUUCAGUUUACUUUCUGUCAGCGUUACCUUUUAUUCUCAACAUGACCUCAGUCCUCAUCAGACGGAGGCGAAAUUGUCAUGUGACUGAGGAAGAAAGUGUGUAACCACCAAGUCCUCUAAGGCAGGGAAGCAUUUUAAACACAGUGGAAAUCAAAAUGAUGCACGAGGACAAAGUUACGUUCAUAUCCAAAAUACUAGCGCAACGAGCGCAAGCUCCUUAAAAGGUUUAGUUUCAUUUAAGUUUAUUGUCAUUAUAUGCUGUAUUUGCGCACUUGUAGUGUAAAUUCUGUCGUUUAUUAGGACUGUAGUUUAAUUCAGUGCUUUUUGUGCAUCCAUAAAAAAUAAUGCAUAAACACUAUAAGAUAAAUUUUAUACAUUUUAUUUAUAUAUAUGCAUAUAUACAUAUAUGUAUAUAUAAAAAUAAAUAAAAUGUAUAAAAUUUAUUUUAUAGCAUUUAUGCAUUAUUUUUUAUGGAUGCACAAAAAGCACUGAAUUAAACUACAGUCCUAAAUUAAUAAUAUAUAUUCUGGUGUGUGUGUAUUGCGUUCUUUUCUGUUUUGAAAGUUCUGUUACUGAAAGCUUGCCCCGCCCCCAUUCGAUUAUUCGAAAUAAUAAAAAUCUGCCAACUAAUCGAUUAUGAAAAUAAUCGUUAGUUGCAGCCCUAAUUAAGUCAGUAAAGACUGUUUAGGCCUGUCUACAGGCAACAAUGUGAUAAUGUGAAAAAAAAUUACCUUAUAUGACCAUGUGCAUUUUUUCGAGUCAGGACAGCUGUUAUUUGCUGCUAUUGUCAAUCGACUGUUUGACAUCAUACACAACAGCACUUUACCUUUGUGUGUUUGCUGAGAGUAUGCUAAUGGUUAAGAGGCAGGAAUUUGGCCUAUAGUUGCUGCAAGCCUUUUAUAAUCAACCAAUUGGUGUGCAAGAAGGUGGAAAUUACAGAGAGGGGUUAAAGCAAUGCAAAUAUGUGCACACAUGAUGCAGUAUUAGACCAUAAGCACAUCUUAACGAAACUAAAGCCGACUCCCGAACAUUUUCUCAAAUUUAGAAAUCCCGGCCAGACACUUUUUUAAUGUAUGAAAAAGAAGAUACGCCUGGGAAAAGAAGACAUAUGGUCACCCUAACAAAAGCCUUUCAGGGAACAAUUUGUGUUCAUUUCUACCAAAUUAACUUUGCAAAUGUAUUUGCACAUGCACUAAGAGGUUUCUCAUGUGAGCCACGACUGACAAGAGAGAACCAGAGCAAUAAUCAAGCAGCUGUCUAUAUUGUGUUGUUAUGUGCCAAUAAAAAUCACAUUUUUGUAA